GAUGAAUGCUGCGCUUCGUGCCUAACACAUGCAAGUCGAGCGGCAGCGCGAGUAGUUUACUACUUGGCGGCGAGCGGCGGACGGCUGACUCACGCGUAGGAAUGUGCCCCAAAGUGAGGAAUAACUGCCCGAAAGGGUGGCUAAUGCCGCAUAUGAUCUUCGGAUUAAAGGAUUUAUCCGCUUUGGGAGCAGCCUGCGUACGAUUAGAUAGUUGGUGAGGUAAUGGCUCACCAAGUCGACGAUCGUUAGCUGGUCUGAGAGGAUGACCAGCCAGACUGGAACUGAGACACGGUCCAGACUCCUACGGGAGGCAGCAGUGAGGAAUCUUCCACAAUGGGCGAAAGCCUGAUGGAGCAACGCCGCGUGAAGGAUGAAGGCCCUCGGGUUGUAAACUUCUUUUAUAAGUGAAGAAUAUGACGGUAACUUAUGAAUAAGCACCGGCUAACUACGUGCCAGCAGCCGCGGUCAUACGUAGGGUGCAAGCAUUAUCCGGAGUGACUGGGCGUAAAGAGUUGCGUAGGUGGUUUGUUAGUGAAUAGUGAAAUCUGGUGGCUCAACCAUUCAGGCUAUUAUUCAAACUGGCAGACUCGAGAAUGGUAGAGGUAACUGGAAUUUCUUGUGUAGGAGUGAAAUCCGUAGAUAUAAGAAGGAACACCAAUGGCGUAGGCAGGUUACUGGACCAUUUCUGACACUGAGGCACGAAAGCGUGGGGAGCGAACCGGAUUAGAUACCCGGGUAGUCCACGCCGUAAACGAUGGAUACUAGCUGUUGGAGGUAUCGACCCCUUCAGUAGCGAAGCUAACGCGUUAAGUAUCCCGCCUGUGGAGUACGGCCGCAAGGCUAAAACAUAAAGGAAUUGACGGGGACCCGCACAAGCGGUGGAUUAUGUUCUUUAAUUCGAUGAUAAACGAAGAACCUUACCAGGGUUUGACAUCCUUGGAAUUACUCCGAAAGGAGUGAGUGCUUUAUUGAGCCAAGUGACAGAUGUUGCAUGGCCGUCGUCAGCUCGUGUCGUGAGAUGUUUGGUUAAGUCCAUCAACGAGCGCAACCCUUGUCUUCAGUUGUAUUUUUCUGGAGAUACUGCCCCGGUAACGGGGAGGAAGGAGGGGAUGAUGUCAGGUCAGUAUUACUCUUACAUCCUGGGCUAGAAACGUAAUACAAUGGCUGGUACAAUGCGCAGCGAAGCCGCGAGGUGAAGCAAAUCGCAUCAAAGCCAGUCCCAGUUCGGAUUGGAGGCUGAAACUCGCCUCCAUGAAGUCGGAAUCGCUAGUAAUCGCAAGUCAGCAAAUUGCGGUGAAUACGUUCCCGGGUCU
rnacentral:rRNA from 1 species